GUUCACAGGGUUGAUGAGUUGAAUAACUCGGUAAUGAUCCCUCCGCAGGCCCCCCCUACGGAAAAUUACCGAGUUAUUCAACUCACAACCCUGUGAACAUACCUAACGUUGCUUCGGCGGGAAUAGACAGCCCGUGAAACGGGGCGCCCCCCGAAGGAACCUUAAACUCUUUUUUUAUAAGGUUUUCUCCUGAGUAAAACAGCAAAUAAUCAAACUUUCACAACGGACUUGGGCUCUGCAUCGAUAGAAGCACGAUGCGAUAGUAAUGUGAAUUGCAGAAAUCACUGAAUCAUGAACUUGAACGCAAUGGCCGCCGGUAUUCUGCGGCAUGCUGUUCGAGCGUCAUUCACCUUAGCCCGGCUGGGAUGGGAUCGGCGGAGCGCUUUUGCACAGCGUCCCAAUACAGUAGCGUCCCCCCCUUCUCUCUUAUAUACAUAUAGUCGCGGAGAGCGCCCGCCCCCAUAAACACACACUCUGUGUGUAUACAUGAGGAGAGAACACCUCCAUACAGUCCGCCAGAGAAAU
rnacentral:rRNA from 1 species